AACGAACGCUGGCGGCAUGCCUAACACAUGCAAGUCGAACGAGACCUUCGGGUCUAGUGGCGCACGGGUGCGUAACGCGCGGGAAUCUGCCCUUGGUUCGGAAUAACAGUUAGAAAUGACUGCUAAUACCGGAUAAUGUCUUCGGACCAAAGAUUUAUCGCCCAGGGAUGAGCCCGCGUAGGAUUAGCUAGUUGGUGAGGUAAAGGCUCACCAAGGCGACGAUCCUUAGCUGGUCUGAGAGGAUGAUCAGCCACACUGGGACUGAGACACGGCCCAGACUCCUACGGGAGGCAGCAGUGGGGAAUAUUGGACAAUGGGCGAAAGCCUGAUCCAGCAAUGCCGCGUGAGUGAUGAAGGCCUUAGGGUUGUAAAGCUCUUUUACCCGAGAUGAUAAUGACAGUAUCGGGAGAAUAAGCUCCGGCUAACUCCGUGCCAGCAGCCGCGGUAAU
rnacentral:rRNA from 1 species